rnacentral:rRNA from 1 species
GACGAACGCUGGCGGCGUGCUUAACACAUGCAAGUCGAACGGAAAGGCCCUGCUUGCAGGGUACUCGAGUGGCGAACGGGUGAGUAACACGUGGGUGAUCUGCCCUGCACUUCGGGAUAAGCCUGGGAAACUCGGUCUAAUACCGGAUAGGAGCCAUUUUUAGUGUGAUGGUUGGAAAGUUUUUUCGGUGUAGGAUGAGCUCGCGGCCUAUCAGCUUGUUGGUGGGGUAAUGGCCUACCAAGGCGGCGACGGGUAGCCGGCCUGAGAGGGUGGACGGCCACAUUGGGACUGAGAUACGGCCCAGACGCCUACGGGAGGCAGCAGUGGGGAAUAGUGCACAAUGGGCGCAAGCCUGAUGCAGCGACGCCGCGGGGGGGAUGACGGCCUUCGGGUUGUAAACUCCUUUCGCUAGGGACGAAGCUUUUUGUGACGGUACCUAGAUAAGAAGCACCGGCUAACUACGUG